CCUACGGGAGGCAGCAGUGAGGAAUAGUGGUCAAUGGCCGGAAGGCGGAACCAGCCAAGGCGCGGGAAGGAAGAAGGAUCUAUGGUUUGUAAACUUCGUUUAUAGGGGAAUAAAGGUAUCCACGUGUGGAUAUUUGCAUGUACCCUAUGAAUAAGCAUCGGCUAACGCUGUGCCAGCAGCCGCGGUAAUACGGAGGAUGCGAGCGUUAUCCGGAUUUAUUGGGUUUAAAGGGUGCGUAGGUUGUUUUUUAAGUCAGCGGUGAAAGUUUGUGGCUCAACCAUAAAAUUGCCGUUGAAACUGGAAGACUGGAGUGUAUUUGAGGUAGGCGGAAUGCGUGGUGUAGCGGUGAAAUGCAUAGAUAUCACGCAGAACUCCGAUUGCGAAGGCAGCUUACUAGGCCAUAACUGACACUGAGGCACGAAAGCGUGGGGAUCAAACAGGAUUAGAUACCCUAGUAGUC
rnacentral:rRNA from 1 species